UACGAGAGGCCCAAACGUUAUUCGGAUUUACUGGGCUUAAAGAGUUCGUAGGCUGCACAGAAAGUAGGGUGUGAAAGCCCUCGGCUCAACCGAGGAAUUGCGCUCUAAACUGCUGUGCUUGAGGACCUAGAGGUGAGCAGAACUGAUGGUGGAGCGGUGAAAUGCGUUGAUAUCAUCAGGAAUACCGGAGGCGAAGGCGGCUCACUGGGGGUUUUCUGACGCUGAGGAACGAAAGCCAGGGGAGCGAACGGGG
rnacentral:rRNA from 1 species